GGUGUCUCAGUGGUAGAGAGCUUGCCUUGCAUGCAUGAGGCCCUGGGUUCGGUUCCUCAGCACCA
rnacentral:tRNA from 1 species